GAAUUUUCUUUUUCUGGGUCUAGAUCCUUUAUUUUAGCAACUUCAUUCUCAAAUACAGUCUUGUAAGGGCAGUUGAAGUAUAAAAGAGGUCCAAGCUCCCUUUCAAAAGGUUCAUAUGUCACAGGAGGCACAGAUGCCAGAUCCUCUGGAGUAUAUUCAAUAUCAAAGCUUGGAUAUUUAAAUGUUUCACGUUCCAGAUCAGCAAUUCCAUCUUCAUCGCUUGAAAUCUGCUCAUAUCCAUCAUCUCCUUCACCCUCUUCCUCCUCUUCACCAUCUUCUUCAUCUUCAUCUUCCUCCUCCUCUUCCUCAUCUUCAUCGGGAAUACUCUCUACUGUGUGCCCAUCAUCAUCGUCCUCCUCCUCCUCCUCCUCAACAUCCACAUCCUCUUCAUCAUCUCCUUCUUCUGGUUGAUCUUCUUCCACUUCUCCUUCAUCAGAAUACUGGCUUUCUUGGUGAAUGGAUGUUCUGUCAGGAGAAAUGGGCUCAAAGUAAUCCUCCCUAUGGUCCACAUCAUCUUCUUUUUCUCCAACCACUGACACUGGCAUAGGUUCAUCCUCAUCAUCAUCAGGAGGAGGAGGGCCCGGAGGUGUCCUUGGUCCCCUAGGUUGUGGUCUUGGAGGACUGCCAUUGAACUGGUCUUCUUUCUCUCCAUCAACAUGCUUUGGGGUUCUUUUCAAACCAGGCUGUUGCUGGGGAGGAGGAGGCGGAGGUGGGGGUGGAGGAGGUGAUUCUCUGUCAUGAGUGAUUACUCUGUCAACUGAGCCAUAUAUUGCCAAAGUCAGACAAUUGUACCACCCCCUCAGAACCAAUCCAUCUGUGUUGACCUUUGCAUUGGGUCUGAAAAUAAUCGAAGUGUUUUC
rnacentral:lncRNA from 1 species